CGCACCUUGCACUCUCUGGUAUUCCGGAGAGUACGCCUGUUCGAGUGUCGUGAAACUCUCAAGCUGGAUGGGCUUUUAUUAGCCCGUCUUGGUUUGGAUGUGGACUCUGCUGUGUCACAACGGCUGGUCUUAAAGGCAUUAGCUGAAUCUUGAUGUGGGACUUGGUUCUUACUCGGCGUGAUAAUUAUCUGACCGCUGAGGACAUCUCUUUUUGGGGGAUGGCCAGACUCUUUCUCGAAUCGCUUCUAAUAUGCCGGAUAAGUCUCUCUGGGACUUUUCCGUCUUCAACCUUUGACCUCGAAUCAGGUGGGACUACCCGCUGAACUUAA
rnacentral:misc_RNA from 1 species